GGGCAAAGAGUACAGCCAAAUCUGAGCAGGUACACUGUAGCAUCCAUCAUCCGGACUUUCCGAAAUGAGAAUAGAACUGAAAGAUUACCAACACAAGGUGGUCAGGAACGUCUUCUGUCUCCUGAACAGGAAACUGAAAUCAUAAACAUGGUCCUAGAAAACAGCGCCAUAACAUUACAGCAAAUACAAAGAAAAA